GAUCCUGGUUCAGGAUGAACGCUGGCGGCGUGCUUAACACAUGCAAGUCGAACGGGAAACAUUUCAUUGAGGCUUCGGCGAAUUUGAUCUGUUUCUAGUGGCGGACGGGUGAGUAACGCGUGGGUAACCUGCCUUGUACUGGGGGAUAGCAGCUGGAAACGGCUGGUAAUACCGCAUAAGCGCACAAUGUUGCAUGACAUGGUGUGAAAAACUCCGGUGGUAUAAGAUGGACCCGCGU
rnacentral:rRNA from 1 species